rnacentral:tRNA from 1 species
UCUAAUAUGGCAGAUUAGUGCAAUGGAUUUAAACCCCAUUUAUGAAGUUUCUUCUUUUAGAA